ACAAUUAUAUAUAAUGAUAAAAUUAACUGGAAGUUAAAUGAAGGGAGUAUACAGUUUAUAGAGCCAGGUAGUACGGAUAAAUAUUUAGGUGCUAAGAUAGAUCCGUGGAUCGACAUAAGCCAAUCAAACUGGGAAAGCCAAAUAGAUAUAUGGUUAGGAAAUUUAAAAAGAUCCCCCUUAAAACCAGUUCAAAAAGUAGAAAUUUUAAAAACAUAUUUAUUUCUAGACUAUAUUAUCAUUUAGUUUUAUCUGAAGUCUCUAUUAAUUAUCUUAACAAAUUAGAUAAUAAAAUAAAAAGUGCAGUUAAAGAAAUUUUACACCUCCCGCAAUCCAUCACGGAUGGAGUGUUAUAUGCCAAGUCCUGUGAUAGUGGCCUUGCUUUAAACAGACUGUCAACCUUUAUUCCAAUCUCAAUUAUGAGGAAGUAUGGGAUGCUACAGAAAUCUGAGGACGAAAUUUUGCAUGCAUCAUUUCGGUUCAAGGGUGACAGUGUGGCAACAAAAAUGUAUAAAUUGAGUAAACUUAAAGUGAUGGAAAACAUCUGGAACCCGAAUAUUAAUCGACGAUUGGGUAAAGAGGAUACUAUCAGGGAAGAUAGUGAAGAUGAGAUGGAAGAGUUUAGCAGUACCAACUAUGCUAACUGGAGAGGUAUAGAGAUACAGAGAUGGAUGGCCCUCCCCUCUCAAGGGGCAGGGGUUCAUUAUUAUAAAAAUGAUAGUAUAUCCAAUGGUUGGUUGACCAAAGUACAAUAUAUGAAGACGUCUAAAGUUACCAAUUCGAUUUUACUGAGAACAAUUUACAUCCAACAAGAGCAUCAAUGUCGUAUGGAAAGCCAUGUAAUAUCAAGAAUUGCAGAAGGUGUAAUGAUACGUCAGAAACGUUUGCGCAUAUCUCGGGGUGGUGCCCUUAUGUUAAAAACAUGAGGAUCAAAAGGCAUAAUAGAGUUGCAGAAGAAUUAGUUAAGUAUGGAAGAACAUGUGGACAGUAUAUAUAGAACCGAGAAUUAAAGAUGAUGCCGGGAAACUUUGGAUACUGGAUCUAAUUUUUCAGAAAGAACACCAGGUCGUUGUUGUGGAUGUAACUAUUAGAACGGAUCUUCAGAUCAACUCCCUCGAAUCGGCGUGGGAAGAAAAGAUAAACAAGUAUAAACAUCUAGGAAAAGAGAUAAUGGACCUCAUUGAUGGAGGAACGAUAUCCUUUUACAGUUUUGUGAUAGGAGCCCAAGGGAAGUAGUUCGAAAAGUACACUGAGUUGAUGAAAGACCUCGGGUUCUCGAAAUUUAAAUCUGUUGCACAGAAUAUCACAACCCUUGUUUUGUCUUUGACUCUCGAACUUUUACAGAUUUUUAUGGACCCUUAAUUUCUCCUAUUCACGUUAUUUAAUGAGGUUUUAAUAAGUUUUAGGUAUUUUAAUAGUUUUAAUUAAUCAUUUUAAUAGUUUUUAAUGGUUUUAUUAAUAAAAGUAUAUAGUUUUAGAUCACUUAGUUCAAAGGUGGUGGGUAGAUUGGGAUGUUAAUAAUUAAAGUGCACAUUUCACACAACAAGUGAUGAGCGGUUACCUAGUCUAACGGUUGAUAAGCCCAGCUCAUCCCUUGCCUCGCUGAGAUUCUGACUCACAAUAUCUUUUAUCGUCCCCUUAAGAUCAUCUGGCUGGGGGGUUCGCUGGAUAGGGGUAUUCACGCGUCGACAAGCGACGUUAAAAUCUCGAAAAGGACACGAUCCAUUGCGUAUGGCGAGUGCAUAAAAUUAGCCAAAUGCCUCGUCAUCUAAUUAGUGAUGCACAUGAAUGGAUGAACGAGAUUCCCACUUUCCCUACCUAUUAUCUAGCGAAACCACAGCCAAGGGAACGGGGCUUGGCAGAAUUAGCGGGGAAAGAAGACCCUUUUGAGCUUGACUCUAAUCUGGCACUGUGAAGAGACAUGAGAGGUGUAGAAUAAGUGGGAGGCUUCGGCCGCCGGUGAAAUACCACUACUCUUAUCGUUUUUUCACUUACCCGGUGAGGCGGGGAGGCGAGCCCUGAGGGGCUCUCGCUUCUGGUCGGAAGCGCCCGGGCGGCCGGGCGCGACCCGCUCCGGGGACAGUGGCAGGUGGGGAGUUUGACUGGGGCGGUACACCUGUCACACCGUAACGCAGGUGUCCUAAGGCGAGCUCAGGGAGACAGAAACCUCCCGUUGAACAGAAGGGCAAAAGCUCACUUGAUCUUGAUUUUCAGUACGAGUACAGACCGUGAAAGCGGGGCCUCACGAUCCAUCUGACCUUUUGGGUUUUAAGCAGGAGGUGUCAUAAAAGUUACCACAGGGAUAACUGGCUUGUGGUGGCCAAGCGUUCAUAGCGACGUCACUUUUUGAUCCUUCGAUGUCGGCUCUUCCUAUCAUUGUGAAGCAGAAUUCACCAAGCGUUGGAUUGUUCACCCACUAAUAGGGAACGUGAGCUGGGUUUAGACCGUCGUAAGACAGGUUAGUUUUACCCUACUGAUGUUGUGUUGUUGCAAUAGUAAUCCUGCUCAGUACGAGAGGAACUACAGAUUCAGACAUUUGGUGUAUGUGCUUGGCGAGGAGCCAAUGGUGUGAAGCUACCAUCUGUGGGAUUAUGACUGAACGCCUCUAAGUCAGAAUCCUGCCUAAAUGUAAUGAUACCCUAGCGCCAUGGAUCACUUGUUGGUCGAGGAUAACCGACUCCAGUCGGUGCGUAUCACCAUUCGAUUCUGGUCUGGAGUGCGACCGUAUGGGCGCUGCCUCUCUCCUUUACUUGCACCUCAUGUUCAUGGGGAACCUGGUGCUAAAUCAUUUGUAGACGACCUGAUUCAGGCUCAGGGUUUCGUAAGUAGCAGAGCAGCUACCUCGCUGCGAUCUAUUGGAAGUCAUCCCUCGUGC
rnacentral:rRNA from 1 species